rnacentral:rRNA from 1 species
CCUACGGGUGGCAGCAGUGAGGAAUAUUGGUCAAUGGCCGGAAGGCUGAACCAGCCAUGCCGCGUGAAGGUCAGUGCCCUAUGGGCGUUAAACUUCUUUUAUUCGGGAGCAAUAAUGGUCACGUGUGGCCAGAAGAGAGUACCGUACGAAUAGGCAUCGGCUAACUCCGUGCAAGCAGCCGCGGUAAGACGGGGGGUGCAAGCGUUAUCCGGAUUUGUUGGGUGUAAAGGGUGCGUAGGCUGUGAGGUAAGUCAGGGGUGAAAUGCCCCCGCUCAACGGGAUGAAGUGCCAUUGAUACUGCCAUGCUGGAAUGCGGAUGCGGAGGGAGGAAUGUGUGGUGUAGCGGUGAAAUGCAUAGAUAUCA